GAGGGUUUACCGGUACUGAGCGGCGGGACGGGUGGAGUAACAACGUAGGUAACCUAGCCCAGGAAGCGGGGGAGUAACACCUGGAAACAGAUGCUAAUACCGCAUAGGUCAUUUGACCGCAUGGUCAAAUAGAUUAAAGAUGGCUCUGCUAUCACUUCUGGAUGGACCUGCGGCGUAUUAGCUAGUUGGUAAGGUAACGGCUUACCAAGGCAAUGAUACGUAGCCGAGUUGAGAGACUGAUCGGCCACAUUGGGACUGAGACACGGCCCAGACUCCUACGGGAGGCAGCAGUAGGGAAUCUUCCACAAUGGACGCAAGUCUGAUGGAGCAACGCCGCGUGAGCGAAGAAGGUCUUCGGAUCGUAAAACUCUGUUGUUAGAGAAGAACACAGGUGAGAGUAACUGUUCACCUGUUGACGGUAUCUAACCAGCAAGUCACGGCUAACUACGUGCC
rnacentral:rRNA from 1 species